UACACACUAUAUGCAUUGAGACUGGGACCAACCUGUUCAACCUCAGGCCCUCUAAUGUGGCAGGUAAAUUCCAGGGAAAAGCUGGACUGAACAUGCUCCUGCACAUGGUCUUCAAAGUUGCUAAAGCCUGGUCACCCUCAGUUGUGCUCAUAGGCCACUGUAAGAGAACUUUUAGAAAAAGAUACCAAAAACUGAUAAAACUGAUCCUAAAAGAUUUAAGAAGAUGCUACCAAAGAUAUUGAAAGGUAUGAAACCAGAGGAGAGAGUAAUGAUCAUUGGUACCUCCACUAGACCUUUUGUGUGUGUAGAUGCUGAUCAAAUGUAGAUGUAUCAAAGAAUCAUAAUGAUACCAAGACCUGACUAUGGAUCAAGAGUCUUGCAGUGGAAGAGUCUUAUACUGAAACAUGGCGGUCAUGUUACUGAUGGAUUUGACAUUGAGCUCAUUAGCUAAAGUAUCAGACAGAUACACUCCAGGACACAUGAUCACUGGAAUAACACAAGUACUCACUGAAAGAAGGAUACAACAACGUCCAUUGACUACAGCAGAAUUCAUUCCUUUUCUUACUAAAAUUGAUCCGAUUUAUAGAGAAGAAGAGGAAGCAUACAAA